rnacentral:rRNA from 1 species
UACGAAGGGGGCUAGCGUUGCUCGGAAUUACUGGGCGUAAAGGGCGCGUAGGCGGAUCGUUAAGUCAGGGGUGAAAUCCCAGAGCUCAACUCUGGAACUGCCUUUGAUACUGGCGAUCUUGAGUGUGAGAGAGGUAUGUGGAACUCCGAGUGUAGAGGUGAAAUUCGUAGAUAUUCGGAAGAACACCAGUGGCGAAGGCGACAUACUGGCUCAUUACUGACGCUGAGGCGCGAAAGCGUGGGGAGCAAACAGG